rnacentral:tRNA from 1 species
GCGGAGAGCCAAGUGGAUCAAGGCAGUGGAUUGUGAAU